GGGGGACCUUCGGGGCCUUGCGCGAUUGAAUGACCCGAUGUCGGAUUAGCUAGUUGGGGGGGCAAGGGCCCACCAAGGCGACGAUCCGUAGCUGGUCUGACUGGAUGAUCAGCCACACUGGAACUGAGACACGGUCCAGACUCCUACGGGAGGCAGCAGUGGGGAAUAUUGGACAAUGGGCGCARGCCUGAUSCAGCCAURCCGCGUGGGUGAAGAAGGCCUUCGGGUUGUAAAGCCCUUUUGUUGGGAAAGAAAUCCAGCUGGCUAAUACCCGGUUGGGAUGACGGUACCCAAAGAAUAAGCACCGGCUAACUUCGUGCCAGCAGCCGCGGUAAUACGAAGGGUGCAAGCGUUACUCGGAAUUACUGGGCGUAAAGCGUGCGUAGGUGGUCGUUUAAGUCCGUUGUGAAAGCCCUGGGCUCAACCUGGGAACUGCAGUGGAUACUGGGCGACUAGAAUGUGGUAGAGGGUAGCGGAAUUCCUGGUGUAGCAGUGAAAUGCGUAGAGAUCAGGAGGAACAUCCAUGGCGAAGGCAGCUACCUGGACCAACAUUGACACUGAGGCACGAAAGCGUGGGGAGCAAACAGGAUUAGAUACCCUGGUAGUCCACGCCCUAAACGAUGCGAACUGGAUGUUGGGUGCAAUUUGGCACGCAGUAUCGAAGCUAACGCGUUAAGUUCGCCGCCUGGGGAGUACGGUCGCAAGACUGAAACUCAAAGGAAUUGACGGGGGCCCGCACAAGCGGUGGAGUAUGUGGUUUAAUUCGAUGCAACGCGAAGAACCUUACCUGGCCUUGACAUGUCGAGAACUUUCCAGAGAUGGAUUGGUGCCUUCGGGAACUCGAACACAGGUGCUGCAUGGCUGUCGUCAGCUUCGUGUCGUGAGAUGUUGGGUUAAGUCCCGCAACGAGCGCAACCCUUGUCCUUAGUUGCCAGCACGUUAUGGUGGGAACUCUAAAGGAGACCGCCCGGUGACAAACCGGGAGGAAGGUGGUGGAUGAACGUUCAAGUCAUCAUUGGCCCCUUACGGCCCAGGUGCUACACACGUACUACAAUGGU
rnacentral:rRNA from 1 species